AGCCAAUGUUCAAACCUAUGGAAAUCCAACUGCUAAGUUAAAAUAUAAAAUUCCCACAACACGCUUACACACCCUAUUCACUAAGAUGCAUCCACAGACUGAACCUUUGGGGCUGUGCUGUGCUGGCAUGUAUGCAGUGUAUUUCCUCCAGUGAACAUCAACCUGAAAGCUUUACAUAGAUCAAUGGAUAAAGACCUUGAGUGUGAUCCUGCGACAAAACUCCCAGUGUAUUCAAG